rnacentral:tRNA from 1 species
GCCCGGGUGGCGGAAUCGGUAGACGCGCUGGUCUCAAACACCAGUUCCUUCCCUGGAGUGCCGGUUCGACCCCGGCCCCGGGUAC